AGUCGAGCGGUAACAGAAGUACUUGCGUACUUUGCUGACGAGCGGCGGACGGGUGAGUAAUGCCUGGGAAUUUGCCCAUUCGAGGGGGAUAACAGUUGGAAACGACUGCUAAUACCGCAUACGCCCUACGGGGGAAAGGAGGGGACCUUCGGGCCUUCCGCGAAUGGAUAAGCCCAGGUGGGAUUAGCUAGUAGGUGAGGUAAUGGCUCACCUAGGCGACGAUCCCUAGCUGUUCUGAGAGGAUGAUCAGCCACACUGGGACUGAGACACGGCCCACACUCCUACGGGAGGCAGCAGUGGGGAAUAUUGCACAAUGGGCGAAAGCCUGAUGCAGCCAUGCCGCGUGUGUGAAGAAGGCCUUCGGGUUGUAAAGCACUUUCAGCGAGGAGGAAAGGUUACUGGCUAAUAUCCCGUAGCUGUGACGUUACUCGCAAAAAAAGCACCGGCUAACUCCGUGCCAGCAGCCGCGGUAAUACGGAGGGUGCGAGCGUUAAUCGGAAUUACUGGGCGUAAAGCGUGCGCGGGCGGUUUGUUAAGCGAGAUGUGAAAGCCCCGGGCUCAACCUGGGAACUGCAUUUUGAACUGGCAAACUAGAGUCUUGUAGAGGGGGGUAGAAUUCCAGGUGUAGCGGUGAAAUGCGUAGAGAUCUGGAGGAAUACCGGUGGCGAAGGCGGCCCCCUGUACAAAGACUGACGCUCAUGCACGAAAGCGUGUGGAGCAAACAGGAUUAUAUACCCUG
rnacentral:rRNA from 1 species